AGCACAAAAUCGUCUGUUGAAUGAAGUUAGAACACAACACCAUGCUUUGAAUCUCUGAACAUUUAUCUGUGUUGCAGCUGGUGAUGGGAACAAUGAGAGAUCUGCACAAGUUUUACCCUGAAAUCAUACCCAGUAGUCAACUGUAUGAAAUUAAGGGAUCAUCUAUCGAUAAGGUUUUCUAUUUAGUUCCAUCAUGACCACUCCAUGGCAGUUGUUAGAUGCAAUUCUUUUAAGAUUUCGAAGCUGAUCAUCUAAAUGCAUGCUCAAACAGGUUCUGAAAUAUUUUUGUGAGGCUUUGAGAUCAAUUGGGGAUUCAUGGAUGAUGAAUCAAGAGUGGAUGGACAAAGCUACAUACAACAUGUACAAUAACAGUGAUCAAAGGAUCAGUUCGGAACAAGCAGGUAUGAUACAACUUUUCCAGAAUUUAGUCAGCAGUAUAUUUUUAUCCACGUUUUCGGAUCUUGUAAGAAACAAAAUGGAACAAGUUGUUUGAAAGAAUUUUGGAAAGAGUGCAUCGUACUGAAGAGCUUGGUUUUUUCCAUUUAAUAUCUCCUUGCACAACUAGUCUGAAGUUUCAUGAUUGAAGGUGAUUACUUCUCUCUAUCUUUCUUUUUUUCUGAAUUUUUAGUUGAAAUUGCUUCGGCAACACUCACCUGCAUGAUUAAGAUAGCAAGAGAAAUGUUUGAUGUGAUGGAUGAAUAUGAGCCAAAUAAAGACAUUCAACGAUCCAACGCCUUCAGCAAAAUCUUGAUGGAAUCCUCUUCAGACAACAACAGCUAUA
rnacentral:lncRNA from 1 species